rnacentral:rRNA from 1 species
GUGAGAGUUUGAUCCUGGCUCAGGACGAACGCUGGCGGCGUGCCUAACACAUGCAAGUCGAGCGAGCGGAGUUCUUCGGAACAAAGCUAGCGGCGGACGGGUGAGUAACACGUGGGCAACCUGCCUCAUAGAGGGGAAUAGCCUCCCGAAAGGGAGAUUAAUACCGCAUAAGAUUG